AACGCAUGCAGCCGGACCGGCCCGCGUCGAGUUCAGGGGGCUGCCGGAGGUCGCGCGUACGGUCGGCACCGUCUCGGGUCGACCGCGCGUCCCGGCAUUCGGCACCCCUGCACUCUCGGCGUCUCGGGCCGGCCAAGCGCGGCGGGCAUCGGGCGAUGAGCGCGCGUCGGGCAGGUAGCGCAGCCGCCUGGCGGAGGCGAACUUAUAGCCGACCGCGCGGAGCGUCCGAAGCCCGCCGAGGAGAGCGGUGGCACUUCCACCCCAGCAGCGCAGGCCGCCUCGGCGGCAGGGGCGCUCUCCGUCCGUUCGACCGCCGCUCCGCGUCACUGCCUGCAGUGGCCGGGGUAGGCGUGCCGUUCGGGCGGGAGGUCGUCCACUCCUUGCGCUCUGGCCGCUNGGCUAGACGUCGGCAGCAUNCGA
rnacentral:rRNA from 1 species